GAUGAACGCUGGCGGCGUGCCUAAUACAUGCAAGUCGAGCGAACGGACGAGAAGCUUGCUUCUCUGAUGUUAGCGGCGGACGGGUGAGUAACACGUGGAUAACCUACCUAUAAGACUGGGAUAACUUCGGGAAACCGGAGCUAAUACCGGAUGAUAUUUUGAACCGCAUGGUUCAAAAGUGAAAGACGGUCUUGCUGUCACUUAUAGAUGGAUCCGCGCUGCAUUAGCUAGUUGGUAAGGUAACGGCUUACCAAGGCAACGAUGCAUAGCCGACCUGAGAGGGUGAUCGCCCACACGGGAACUGAGACACGGUCCAGACUCCUACGGGAGGCAGCAGUAGGGAAUCUUCCGCAAUGGGCGAAAGCCUGACGGAGCAACGCCGCGUGAGUGAUGAAGGUCUUCGGAUCGUAAAACUCUGUUAUUAGGGAAGAACAUAUGUGUAAGUAACUGUGCACAUCUUGACGGUACCUAAUCAGAAAGCCACGGCUAACUACGUG
rnacentral:rRNA from 1 species